rnacentral:rRNA from 1 species
AGAGUUUGAUCCUGGCUCAGAUUGAACGCUGGCGGCAGGCUUAACACAUGCAAGUCGAGCGGUAACAGGAAGAAGCUUGCUUCUUUGCUGACGAGCGGCGGACGGGUGAGUAAUGCCUAGGAAUCUGCCUAGUAGUGGGGGAUAACUUGCCGAAAGGUAAGCUAAUACCGCAUACGUCCUACGGGAGAAAGCAGGGGACUCUUCGGAGCCUUGCGCUAUUAGAUGAGCCUAGGUCGGAUUAGUUAGUUGGUGAGGUAAUGGCUCACCAAGACAGCGAUCCGUAACUGGUCUGAGAGGAUGAUCAGUCACACUGGAACUGAGACACGGUCCAGACUCCUACGGGAGGCAGCAGUGGGGAAUAUUGGACAAUGGGGGCAACCCUGAUCCAGCCAUGCCGCGUGUGUGAAGAAGGUCUUAGGAUUGUAAAGCACUUUAAGUUGGGAGGAAGAGCAGUUAACUAAUAUUUGACUGUUUUGACGUUACCGACAGAAUAAGCACCGGCUAACUUCGUGCCAGCAGCCGCGGUAAUACGAAGGGUGCAAGCGUUAAUCGGAAUUACUGGGCGUAAAGCGCGCGUAGGUGGUUCGUUAAGUUAGGAGUGAAAGCCCCGGGCUCAACCUGGGAAUUGCUUCUAAAACUGGCGAGCUAGAGUAUGGUAGAGGGUGGUGGAAUUUCCUGUGUAGCGGUGAAAUGCG